CCUACGGGUGGCUGCAGUAGGGAAUCUUUCACAAUGGGGGAAACCCUGAUGCAGCAACGCCGCGUGCAGGAUGAAGGCCUUCGGGUUGUAAACUUCUUUUAUCAGCGAAGAAUAUGACGGUAACUUAUGAAUAAGCAUCGGCUAACUCCGUGCCAGCAGCCGCGGUCAUACGUAGGAUCCGAGCAUUAUCCGGAGUGACUGGGUGUAAAGAGUUGGGUGGGUGGGAGAAAAAGUAGCUGUGGAAAUCUGGUGGGUUAACCAUCAGGACUAUUAGGUAAACUGUUAAGCUGGAGAGCGGGAGGGGUAAGUGGAAUUGCUAGUGUAGGAGUGAAAUCCGUAGAUAUUAGGAGGAACACCAAUAGCGAAGGCAGGUUGCUGGGACGGGACUGACGCUGAGGCACGAAAGCGUAGGGAGCAAACGGGAUUAGAUACCCUAGUAGUC
rnacentral:rRNA from 1 species